AUAAUAUUCCCUCCGUACGGAAAUACUUGUCCUAAGAAUGGAUGAAUCUAGACUUAUUUUAGUUAUAGAUACAUCCAAUAUAUUCAUUUUUAGGACAAGUAUUUUCGGACGGAGGGAGUAAUAA
rfam:Hordeum vulgare subsp. vulgare, WGS project CAJW01000000 data, contig: morex_contig_202758